rnacentral:rRNA from 1 species
UCCUACGGGAGGCAGCAGUGGGGAAUCUUGCACAAUGGAGGAAACUGCGAUGCAGCGAUGCCGCGUGAGUGAAGACGGCCCUUGGGUUGUAAAGCUCUUUCGUACGUGAAGAAAAUGACUGUACCCGAAUAAGAAGGUCCCUCUAACUUAGUCCCAGCAGCCGCGGUAAUACGAAGGGACCUAGCGUAGUUCUGCAAUUACUGGGCUUAAAGAGUUCGUAGUUGGUUGAAAAAGUUUGUACUGAAAUCCCUGAGCUUUACUCUGGAAUACCCAUGAAAAAAAGUCAGAUAGGCUGUGCCAGAGGAAAGCUGAAUGUUUUCAGCAGAGACGAAAUUAACCACUUUUGAAAUGAAUACCAACUGUAAUUGCAAAUUUCGGGAUCUCCAUUGGCAUUGCGGAGGGAGAGCGCGGGUAGUGAGCAGGACUUUAUACCUUGGGAGCCCUCGCUUUAUUCCCCGACGAAAGGACGUUGGGAAUCAAGGUCCUUUGUCGCAGAGAAAGCGAUAAACACUCCGAGUGGGGAGCACGACGCAAGGUCCCCACUGAACGAACUGAAGGA